rnacentral:rRNA from 1 species
UACGUAGGGGGCGAGCGUUGUCCGAAGUUACUGGGCGUAAAGCGCGCGUAGGCGGCUCUUUAAGUCUGGCGUGAAAGGUUCAGGGCUCAACCCGAACAGUGCGCUGGAGACUGGAGAGCUUGAGGACGGGAGAGGGAAGCGGAAUUCCGGGUGUAGCGGUGAAAUGCGUAGAUAUCCGGAGGAACACCGAUGGCGAAGGCAGCUUCCUGGUCCGUAUCUGACGCUGAGGUGCGAAAGCGUGGGGAGCGAACGGG